UAUAUAUCCAUACACCAUUUACCAUACGUUCACAUUCAUGAUUUGAACAUAACUUCACAACUAUUAAUUAAAACGUUUCCAACUCGGAAACGGGUUUUGAAAUACUAAGUUAUGAAAACCACGAAAAAUCUUUUGAAAGCUAUUUUCCACACGGAAACUCUUUUCUUUUUAAAACGCGCUACCACGAGGGGUAGAAAACUAUUUUAUAUUUCACAAAAUCCACAAAUCUUUUUAUUACAUUCAGAAAUCAACUGAAAACUUGAAUAUUCAAACACAAUGAAAUACUGAACCAUAUUAAGCUUUCUAAGUUAAAUCAACAUAAACAAAGAAGGUAACAGCUAAACUGAACAAACCGGGUCAGAAGCUCUAGCAAAUACUACGAUCGUGUCUCACAUCUCGUCUCAACUUCACCACCCGCAAUACCUGAAAAAU
rnacentral:lncRNA from 1 species